CCGCUGGCGGCAGCAUGUGGUCCCUGUGGCUGGUGGCAGUUCUUGCGCUUGCGCCGUGGCCGGCCGGGCCGCCGGCGCUGGUGUGCAGCGCCCCGGAGGCGCGGCCGCAGCCGGAGCCCGAGGCCUGGCCCGGCCCCAUAGCCUCGCCCGAUCCUCGGCCUGUCGCCCCAAUUGGCCCUGCUCUGCGACUCAUCUAUACGUUGUGCAAAGUUCACAAGAGAUGCAACAGGUGGCUGCAGUUCAAGAAAUGCAUAGCAAAGCAGAAGAUAGGUAAAUUUUUCCGGAGAGUGUUCAGAAGAAGAAGGCGCUCGAGGCGUAUCAGGAGAUGCAUUAAAUAAAGACUUGUCGGCACUAAUGAGCAGGCUCGCAGUCCAUGCAUACGCAUCUGGCACGCGCGCACUGUAUCACAGAGGCAAAGGGUUUUCAAACAGGCUCCUAUUGAAACAUGGUUCGCAUUCCAGCGCUAUAAUUGGAUCAAAGUAUGCACUAAGAAACUGGCUAGCGUUGGCAGUUUGCCAAGCGGGUGAACAAUUCAGCACGAUGUGUACAAAACUGAAAUAUAAAAUGCAGCAUGAUAUAUUA